AGAGUUUGAUCCUGGCUCAGGAUGAACGCUAGCUACAGGCUUAACACAUGCAAGUCGAGGGGCAGCAUGGUCUUAGCUUGCUAAGGCCGAUGGCGACCGGCGCACGGGUGAGUAACACGUAUCCAACCUGCCGUCUACUCUUGGACAGCCUUCUGAAAGGAAGAUUAAUACAAGAUGGCAUCAUGAGUCCACAUGUUCACAUGAUUAAAGGUAUUCCGGUAGACGAUGGGGAUGCGUUCCAUUAGAUAGUAGGCGGGGUAACGGCCCACCUAGUCUUCGAUGGAUAGGGGUUCUGAGAGGAAGGUCCCCCACAUUGGAACUGAGACACGGUCCAAACUCCUACGGGAGGCAGCAGUGAGGAAUAUUGGUCAAUGGGCGAGAGCCUGAACCAGCCAAGUAGCGUGAAGGAUGACUGCCCUAUGGGUUGUAAACUUCUUUUAUAAAGGAAUAAAGUCGGGUAUGCAUACCCGUUUGCAUGUACUUUAUGAAUAAGGAUCGGCUAACUCCGUGCCAGCAGCCGCGGUAAUACGGAGGAUCCGAGCGUUAUCCGGAUUUAUUGGGUUUAAAGGGAGCGUAGAUGGAUGUUUAAGUCAGUUGUGAAAGUUUGCGGCUCAACCGUAAAAUUGCAGUUGAUACUGGAUAUCUUGAGUGCAGUUGAGGCAGGCGGAAUUCGUGGUGUAGCGGUGAAAUGCUUAGAUAUCACGAAGAACUCCGAUUGCGAAGGCAGCCUGCUAAGCUGCAACUGACAUUGAGGCUCGAAAGUGUGGGUAUCAAACAGGAUUAGAUACCCUGGUAGUCCACACGGUAAACGAUGAAUACUCGCUGUUUGCGAUAUACAGCAAGCGGCCAAGCGAAAGCGUUAAGUAUUCCACCUGGGGAGUACGCCGGCAACGGUGAAACUCAAAGGAAUUGACGGGGGCCCGCACAAGCGGAGGAACAUGUGGUUUAAUUCGAUGAUACGCGAGGAACCUUACCCGGGCUUAAAUUGCAGAUGAAUUACGGUGAAAGCCGUAAGCCGCAAGGCAUCUGUGAAGGUGCUGCAUGGUUGUCGUCAGCUCGUGCCGUGAGGUGUCGGCUUAAGUGCCAUAACGAGCGCAACCCUUGUUGUCAGUUACUAACAGGUUCCGCUGAGGACUCUGACAAGACUGCCAUCGUAAGAUGUGAGGAAGGUGGGGAUGACGUCAAAUCAGCACGGCCCUUACGUCCGGGGCUACACACGUGUUACAAUGGGGGGGUACAGAGGGCCGCUACCACGCGAGUGGAUGCCAAUCCCAAAAACCUCUCUCAGUUCGGACUGGAGUCUGCAACCCGACUCCACGAAGCUGGAUUCGCUAGUAAUCGCGCAUCAGCCACGGCGCGGUGAAUACGUUCCCGGGCCUUGUACACACCGCCCGUCAAGCCAUGGGAGCCGGGGGUACCUGAAGUGCGUAACCGCGAGGAGCGCCCUAGGGUAAAACUGGUGACUGGGGCUAAGUCGUAACAAGGUAGCCGUACCGGAAGGUGCGGCUG
rnacentral:rRNA from 1 species